GACAGAGGGUGCAAACGUUGCUCGGAAUUACUGGGCGUAAAGCGCGUGUAGGCGGACCGGAAAGUCGGGCGUGAAAUCCCUAGGCUCAACCUAGGAACUGCACUCGAAACUUCCGGCCUUGAGUGGUGGAGAGGGAAGUGGAAUUCCUGGUGUGGAGGUGAAAUUCGUAGAUAUCAGGAGGAACACCAGUGGCGAAGGCGGAUCUCUGGGCCGAUACUGACGCUGAGGAGCGAAAGCGUGGGGAGCGAACAGG
rnacentral:rRNA from 1 species